rnacentral:misc_RNA from 1 species
AGGGAAUAGGCCUGGCCACAGGUCUGAGCUGGUUUCGGACUGGAAAUAGCGGUUCAGUGCCUAGGGAGGGGUUGAAUCGAAACCAGACCAGAUUAGUCCAGUUCCAGCUGGAUCUGGUCCUGUUCAAUGGUGGUUCAAGUGUUGGUUUUGGACAGUUUUGGUAUCAGUUCAGCUCCAUUUCUGUCCACGUGGCACUCUCUAAAGUUGUCACAUAAUUAUGUUUUUUAAAAAAUUGAUUGGGUUGCAGUUUGAACCAUCGGUUCCUCAAUAAGGGGCCCUUAGCUAGCCUCCCUGUAGCCGGCUUAGGCCUGAA